GAACGAGAAAGCCCGCAAGGGUGAGUAAAGUGGCGAACGGGUGAGUAACACGUAGCUAACCUGCCCUCGAGUGGGGAAUAACCUGGGGAAACUCGGGCUAAUACCGCGGUACAUCCCGGUUGCACAAGUAGCCGGGAUCAAAGGCCCGCAAGGGCCGCUCGUGGAGGGGGCUGCGGCCGAUUAGCUAGUUGGCGGGGUAACGGCCCACCAAGGCGAUGAUCGGUAGCCGGCCUGAGAGGGCGCACGGUCACACUGGCACUGAAACACGGGCCAGACUCCUACGGGAGGCAGCAGUGGGGAAUUUUGCACAAUGCCCGAAAGGGUGAUGCAGCAACGCCGCGUGAGGGAUGAAGGCCUUCGGGUCGUAAACCUCUUUCGACCGGGAAAAAUGGGCGCGUGAAGAGCGCGUUCUGAU
rnacentral:rRNA from 1 species